UACGUAGGGCGCAAGCGUUGUCCGGAUUUAUUGGGCGUAAAGAGCUCGUAGGCGGUCUGUCGCGUCGGCUGUGAAAACCCGAGGCUCAACCUCGGGCCUGCAGUCGAUACGGGCAGACUAGAGUGCGGUAGGGGAGACUGGAAUUCCUGGUGUAGCGGUGAAAUGCGCAGAUAUCAGGAGGAACACCGGUGGCGAAGGCGGGUCUCUGGGCCGUAACUGACGCUGAGGAGCGAAAGCGUGGGGAGCGAACGGG
rnacentral:rRNA from 1 species